rnacentral:lncRNA from 1 species
GUCGGGAUAGAGGGAAUGAAUUGAACUUACCAGAUGAUCGAAAUGGACGAGCUGACCGAUCUUGCUAGGUUUGUUUGGAUGGACGGGAUGGACCUAAUGGUCAGGCUGGCAGAGAUGGACGAGAUGAACGAUAUGACGAAAUGGUCAAGAUGGACCAACUGGUCGAUUUGGUUGAGUUGGCCAUGAUGGAUGAAUAGUCAAGUUGGCUACGAUAGACGAGUUGAAUGGAUGAUCAAGAUGGAUUAGAUGGACGAGAUAACAAUAAUAAAUGGAUUACUAAUCUAGCCAAGAUAUAUUAGAUAACCAGGUUAACACAACAAAAGAUCUAACAUGUGAUUUUAUUGACUGGACUAAUUAUGAUGGACCAACUGAUUGAAUUGACCAAGAUGAAUGAGCUCACCAUUAUACAUAAUCCUUUUUGUCAUUCUUAUUUAAAAAAAAUAAGACACAUUUGGAUUAAGAAACUAAUUUAAUACAAAAAUAUAUCAUAUUAUUUUUUAAUUCAAACA